UCUCCCACCUACUCUCCACACCUCUCUGCCAUAUCUCAAUUAUAUCAAAUCAUGGAGACUUUACUCAUACCAAAGAGACUUUACUCAUUCUACACAAAAGACAUGUUGCAUUCUUCUCAUCUGCAUUCAAGAAGGCAAGAACGCACAAAAGAAGCCACCAAGCACCAAGCACCAACCAUCAUUAACCCUCAAGGCUUUGUGACCAGGGGGAUUAGCGCUGCUUUCCCAAGACAGGUUUAUAAGUGAUUAUGAUCUUCAGGCUUUGCCUAACCAGGUUGAGCAGUUGAUGGAAUGGAAUGAUGUUGAGCGGGUGUUCCUUUGACAUUUCAAGAAAUGUAACCUUGAGUAUACAUCUUCAUAUGUAUAUCUCACACGUUUUCAGCUGCAAAGCUCUUUGAUUAGGAUAGCUCAAUGUUAUGAAGUUGUUAUACGUGUUAUUGGGUAACCCACCUUAAUCAGUUCACAUUUAUGUGUAUGUUUUAUAAGUAUCCAAAUAAUCAUAUAUGAUCCUAGCAUUUUAUCUAUGAGUGACAUUUCCAUAUACUUUAAUGUUAAGUAAUUGUCCAUUUCCAUUUCUUAUUGUUCACCCCAAGUCAUAACCCCGGUUAACCCGUCAUUGGGAUAGUGGGCUGUGACAGAGUGGUAUCAGAGCGGUUCGUUCGCUCUGACCCUAGAAACCUUAUUCUAAAGAGUCGAGUCUAGUUUGAUUCUUUAGACUUACA